rnacentral:snoRNA from 1 species
CCCUUCUCAGGGUCACACCUGGAGGGUUUCCAGUACUCUACUGGUCAUGACUAUGGGAGGGAGAGUCCAGCAGAAGCAUAUUCCUUCCAUUCCUAGCUUGGGCAGUGGCUAGCGAGUGGAAGGCCAUCUGCUACAAGU